rnacentral:rRNA from 1 species
AUACGGAGGGUGCAAGCGUUACUCGGAAUCACUGGGCGUAAAGCGCGCGUAGGUCGUCUGUUAUGUCAGAUGUGAAAGUCCACGGCUCAACCGUGGAAGUGCAUUUGAAACUGGCAGACUUGAGUACUGGAGGGGGUAGUGGAAUUCCCGGUGUAGAGGUGAAAUUCGUAGAUAUCGGGAGGAAUACCGGUGGCGAAGGCGACUACCUGGCCAGAUACUGACACUGAGGUGCGAAAGCGUGGGGAGCGAACAGGAUUAGAAACCCGUGUAGUCC